rnacentral:rRNA from 1 species
CCAAUAGCGUAUAUUAAAGUUGUUGCAGUUAAAAAGCUCGUAGUUGAAUUUCGGGAUCAAAUUGUCGGUCGUGCCUCGGUACGCACUGGUAUUAUUGGUUCCUACCUUCUGAAGAACCGUGAUGUCAUUAAUUUGGUGUCGUGGGGAAUCAGGACUGUUACUUUGAAAAAAUUAGAGUGUUUAAAGCAGGCUUACGCUUGAAUACAUUAGCAUGGAAUAAUGAAAUAGGACGUUUGAUUCUAUUUUGUUGGUUUCUAGGAUUGACGUAAUGAUUAAUAGGGAUAGUUGGGGGCAUUAGUAUUCAAUUGUCAGAGGUGAAAUUCUUGGAUUUAUUGAAGACUAACUACUGCGAAAGCAUUUGCCAAGGAUGUUUUCAUUAAUCAAGAACGAAAGUUAGGGGAUCGAAGACGAUCAGAUACCGUCGUAGUCUUAACCAUAAACUAUGCCGACUAGGGAUCGGAUGAUGUUAAUUUUUUAAUGACUCAUUCGGCGCCUUACG